GCGGCCGCGGGCGACUCCUGGUACCCCCGAGGCCCCGCGAACUCACCUUCACAAAGCUGUCGGCGUCCGGGAAGCCUGGCAGCACCAUCUCUCCGUCGGAUUUGGUUGCGCUGGUCGCCGACAGGACCCUGGGCUCCCGGGUAAGCUCCUGAAGAAAGCGUCUAGCUCCAACUGUGCUUCCUCCCUCCAGUACCCUCUGAACUCCUCCAAGCAGACGUUGUUUCCUGCAGACAUCGCUGGAACCAUUCUGGUUAACACAGAGUGGGAACUCAGUACACAUUUGUGAAGUGAACUCCUGGAAGAGCUCUUGUGAGGGAGGCACCGAAUUAUCAGGCAGCUCAAGAGAUAGAUUCACUCUCCUGAAAUUAGAGAUGGGAUGCCCUUAAUACAAUUCAUUCCACCCAUUAAGUCUUCAAUAAAUGUUCAGCAUAUCCAGUUAAGAGAA
rnacentral:lncRNA from 1 species